rnacentral:rRNA from 1 species
UACGGGGGGGGCAAGCGUUGUUCGGAAUUACUGGGCGUAAAGGGCUUGUAGGUGGCCAACUAAGUCAGACGUGAAAUCCCUCGGCUUAACCGGGGAACUGCGUCUGAUACUGGAUGGCUUGAGUGUGGGAGAGGGAUGCGGAAUUCCAGGUGUAGAGGUGAAAUUCGUAGAUAUCGGGAGGAACACCAGUGGCGAAGGCGGCGAUCUGGGAAGAUACUGACGCUGAGGUGCGAAAGCGUGGGGAGCAAACAGG